UAAAAAAGCUUUUUUUCAUGUGUAAUCACUAUUUAUUUAAAAUUAUCGUCUGAUUUCGGAAGCUAAGCAGGGUCAGGCCUGGUUAGUACUUGGAUGGGAGACCACCUAGGAAGACCAGGUGCUGUAG
rnacentral:rRNA from 1 species